rnacentral:tRNA from 1 species
GAAGGUUGGCAGAUUGUAAUGUAAUUAGCUUGAAACUAAAAUGAUGCAGGUUUGAUUCCUGUACCUUCUU